GGUUAUGUUGGGUCGAGUCACGUUCGAAAUGAUGUAAGGUUAGAUGGGCAGACUCAUGUUCAAAAUGGCGUGUGGCUGGAUGGGCCGAGUUACAAUUGAGAUCCGUGGGCGCUGUAUCUGUACGCUUUAAGUAAAUUGAUUGCGUAUUUCUAACAACUUGAACUUUUGGGAUUAAUGGUUAGUGCCAACAAUCCGACAACUAGUAUCAGAGCCAGAGAUCACAGGUUCGAUUCCCGUUACUGUAAAUAUGUGCAAGUGCUGGAGGGAGGGAUUGUUGGCUUAAAUGGACCAGCAUCCUGUCUUGUCUUGUUGCGGGAGGCUAUGUUGGCUUUAAGUGAAUUGAUUGCGUAUUUCUAACAGCUCGAGCUUUUGGAAUUAAUGGUUAGCGCCAAUGGGCUCAGGUGCUGGAGGGG
rnacentral:lncRNA from 1 species